rnacentral:tRNA from 1 species
GGCGGGGUAGCUCAGUUGGCUAGAGCAGAGGAAUCAUAAUCCUUGUGUCGGGGGUUCAAAUCCCUCCCUCGCUACCA